CGUGUAGGCGGUCUGAUUAGUCUGAUGUGAAAGCCCUGGGCUCAACCCAGGAAGUGCAUUGGAUACUGUCAGACUUGAAUACGGGAGAGGGUAGUGGAAUUCCUAGUGUAGGAGUGAAAUCCGUAGAUAUUAGGAGGAACACCGGUGGCGAAGGCGGCUACCUGGACCGAUAUUGACGCUGAGACGCGAAAGCGUGGGUAGCAAACAGGAUUAGAUACCCUGGUAGUCCACGCCGUAAACGAUGAGUACUAGGUGUUGCGGGUAUUGACCCCUGCAGUGCCGCAGCUAACGCAUUAGGUACUCCGCCUGGGAAGUACGGUCGCAAGACUAAA
rnacentral:rRNA from 1 species